AUGUAUGUUGAUAAUGUAACAUUGUGUUGUAUGUUUCAGAAGGCCACUCCUCUAACUGAGACCCCACAGGGAACAACAGCCUCCUCCUCAGACUUACUAGUGGACCCAGCUCUGGUCAUCAAAGACAGGCUGGUGGAAGAGGUUAGAGACCAGGCUGCCAUCGUCUCAGACAAACCUCCCACCCCUGCCCAGAUUGUUCAGGCCAAAGAAGCAAAGGCGUCCCAGAAGAGCAAGAUAAGUGUCAACGGAGUGUGAGGAGGACUGAAAGGGCUUGACCGGACCCCACAACCCUGUGUCCUCAGGGUUGAGGGGGGCUAUCAAUCAAGCUUAUCUACACCAAGAGGGAUCAGUCAACCCAAUCACCCCUCUGCCCCCCUUAACACCUUCUCCUUAUCCCAAAGACCAGGGGGCGUGAGUCUGUAUCCCCCGUCCUCACUGUCUAGCCAAUGGGGGCUCGCUGUGUGAUGAAAAGGUCAUAAGAUCAUCACAUGAUAAUGUCAUUAGACCAGACAACGCUUGGCUAAAAUGCCACUUUGCUCAGGAUCAGACCUCUGGCUACACCUGGAGUGAGGGCUGCUGGCAGGGGUUUAAAAUGGGACACCCACCUCUGCUUUGUCUGAUUAGUCUCUGGUUCUUUUCGCCUGCAUCUAUUUGGUUUACAUGUUAUGCACUCCAUCCAUUUGUGUUUCACACUCCAUCUCAGCAGGACACUGUUACGUAAACUCUGAAAAGUCCCUCAACUGGGAUUACCUUUCGUUUUGUUUUAGGGAUCACAGUUACCCAGUGAUGUAACAAAUAUUAUGUCCUUGAAGAGUAGACGCAUCCUCUCAAGAUGUACCGUUUGGCCCAGUGUUCUGGUUGGUUGGUUUUGGUGUAACAUUAGUCUGUUUCACUUCCGGUUGCAUUGAGACCUAGCCUGGUCUCAGAUUCAUUAGGUGCUGAAGCUGAAUCCUCUUGACUAGAAACACCGCAAAGGUGAAAGCAGGGGGUGGCUGCGGUGUGUUAGGGGUCACCUGCUGGCUUUGAACCAUUCGUCAAGGUGUGUUUUCUCUUAGUUGGCCCGCUCAUCUCCAGAUCUGGAUCAGACUAACGUAGACCACCAACUCCCCCCCCACCCCUCAUGUAUAUUUGUAAAUACCCUGUAAAUGGUUCUCCGUGUCUGGCAGAAAAGGUACACCUGCUCUGUACUUUGGUUAUGCCACGCCCUCAAGCUCUCCCAACUAAAGAGUUCUAUGAACUUUUACCCUCCUAUUAUUUUGUCUUGUUUGUUGAAUAUUUGAAUCUAAGACGGGGCAACUCUUUUACAUUAACUUGCCUUCAUACCAUGAAGUUACUCUCGAUCUACUCUGGUAACCAGAAUGUAAUUGUUUAGCUCAAAAUGCUCUUUGCAAAUAAGGUAUAUAAGCAAUGAUUGAUGUGUAAAGGAAAUUGGGUAAAUUGUCUAGCUAGUUACAAUGGUAGUUGCAUUUUAAUUACAACAGAAAAUGUAACACGUGGUAUCUGUGCAAUUUAUUGUGAAGAUUGACACUAUGACUGAGUGGUCCAAUGUCAUUUAGCAGACACUCUUAUCCAGAGCGACUUACAGGAGCAAUUAGAGUAAAGUGCCUCUGUCGAUGUGCCCUAGUAAGCUCGGGGAAUCAAACGAGUGCCCUUAAUUGUAAGCUAGCGAGAGAGUUCACUCCUGAUACACAGGAGAGGCUGUAGGACCACCUAAAUCCUGAUAUUCAACACAACUGCUAGUCUGGGGACAAAUGGACUAUACAGUGUAUAUUUUGUGUUAAUGCUCUUCUACUACCCUUGAUUUACAAAUUUAAAAGCAAAUACUUGACUGACAGCUAUUGGAAAUGAUCCAUACCCACUGUUAACUCAACUAGAGAAGUGUGUAAAGAGUUUAUUUGAGCGAAACAGCAUGAAAAUGCAGGUUUUGUGAACUCUUAAAGGAUUACACAAGAAAGUGUUAAAUUUUAUUUUGAAAUGUGGUUCUCAAAGAACUUGAAAGAUGGCCGCUAUUUGAUGAUGAACUGCCUAGUACCUAUCCUGCUUAUGUAUGUUAACACAAUUAUGUGAUCGAGAAGGUUCUUGGAAGGUUUACCACAUAAACAUAUAGUAUGUGUACUGUGUGUGUUUCAUAUUUCAGUGUGCGUGUAUGAGAGUUUGUGCGUUUGGUGUUGCCUUAGCCUUGAGGAAAACCUCUUUCAGCAUCAAGUUAGGGCACCGUGGGCCACCGCUGGGUGCAUGUUUUGGGUUUUUGCCCUACCGCUACACAGCUGAUUCAAAUAACCAACUCAUCAAGCUUUGAUUAUUUGGACCGAGUUUGGGGAAACCCUGAGUUAGGGGAUUAAUUUUAUGAACCCCUCCAACUAAAUUGCAUUACUUCACUGAUUAGUCAGUGGCCGACCGUUCGCCCUUUCUGAAUAGAAUGGACUUCAUAGUGCAUCUUCCUCUCCCACUGAUCUGUAGGUGAGUGUAUAAGCGAAACCAAGAUGUCCACCCUUCUGCUUUGAUCAAUCCUAUCCUCUCAGAUCUGUGAUUAAUUCAAGGGCGGGAAGAGAGGACUAUGAGACCGGGGAUUCUCCUUUCCAUUAUUUUUCUACUUGGUUUAAGGAUUGUUAUGCAAAUUGAUGUACAGCCAAAUCUGUAAAAAGGUGCUUUGUUGGCUCUGCUCUCUGUGGAAUGUCUCCUCUGCCUGUUCCCCACUGACUACUGGAAGAGAUUUACACUGUCCCAAUUCCCCUGCCUUGUGCCUUCCUUUGGCUCCCUUCAUGUCGAUAGAUUGGUGAAAGGAAUUCAUAUUAUUGCUUAUACUGUUAUCUUUUUUUGUGCGGUUAUUUUGGAUCAGUGAUCAAGGAGGCAAGGAGAUUAGGAAGUUGGGGGCGAGAAUUAGGACACAUACUUCAAUUCAUUUAAACUCCUGCGCCCUUUCACUCACAUGCCUAAUACCAAAUACUAGCUCUUACCCCUAAACCCUUGUUGGUACAAGCAGUAUAGUGGAAAGCAGAACCAUAUUGCUAAUGGCAUACCUUUCAAAUCAACAAGUGGUCUGUGUGGGCUUAGAGUUUGGUGUGGAGUUGAGUAACAUGAACUAUACUGAACAAAAAUAUAAACACAACAUGUAAAGUGUUGGUUUCAUGAGCUGAAAUAAAAUAUCUUAGAAAUGUUCCAUAUGCUCAAAAAGCGUAUAAAAUUUGGUGUACAAUUUUGUUUACAUCCCUGUUAGUGAGCAUUUCUCCUUUGCCAAGAUAUGCCAAAGCUGUCAGGUUUGAUUAAACAGCAACUGAUUAAACAGCAUGGUCAUUACACAGGUGCGCCUUAUGCUGGGGACAAAAGGCCACUCUAAAAUGUGCAGUUUUGUUAACAGAUGACUCAAGUUUUGAGGGAGUGUGCAAUGGGUAUGCUGACUGCAGGAAUCUCCACCAGAGUUGUUGCCAGAGAAUUGUGUUAAUGUUAAUUUCUCUACUAUAAGCCGCCUCUAUCAUUUUAGAGAAUUGGGCAGUACGUCCAACCGGCUUCACAACCGCAGACCAUGUGUAACCAUGCCAUCCCAAGACCUCCACAUCCGGCUUAUUCAUCUGCAGGAUCAUCUGAAACCAGACAACUGGAUAGCUGGUGAGAACUGAGGAGUAUUGCUGUCUGUAAUAAAGCCCUUUUGUGGUUGGGCCUGGGAGGGCAUAGUCAUGUGAAAUCCAUAGGUUAGGGCCUAAUCAAUUUAUUUCAAUUGACUGAUUUCCUUAUAUGAACUGUAACUCAGUAAAAUUGUUGAAAUUGGCGCAUGUUGCGUUUAUCAUUUUGUUCAGUAUAUAUUGCCUCGUCCAUUACUGAUAAAGAAUGGUACUAGGAUAGAACUAGAGCAUAUUCUUCUUUUGGUUUCUUGAGCUAGGUUUACAUUUUCCCCCCUUUCCACACACACUGCUUGUCACGGAUUUAAAAUGAUAGGAUUGGUGUAUGAAUUGUCUGGAUGUAGUUUCCACCCAAAUCCAUGGGAGAACUCAACCCUCACACAUAUGAUAGAUGUUGAAGCUUUAUGUAUGUAAACCUCCUAGCUGGUCUGUGGCUGUGCCAGAUAUCUGUAGACCGUAGUAGCAAAUGUUUGUUGCCAGAAAUAAAAAUACAGGACUCAAGUGUAAAGGGUUUUUAUGAAUUUAAUGCUAUAAAUUGUGAACUUUAUCUCCCAAGCAGUCAUUUGACAGUAGAAUGAUGUAUUGUUUUCAAUGUUAGUUAAAUACUGUACAUGUCUGACAGCAAUGAUGUUGAAAGUGUCUUCUGACCUCCAUUAAUGAGCUUAGUGGACUGGAGGGUUAAAAUGAGAGGAAGAAUGUCUGACUCAAGGAAAGCCCCCAAAGGAGGAG
rnacentral:lncRNA from 1 species